AGUGAUGGCUUGCUCACAAUUGUUUCUUAUUAUCUUAUAUUCAAAGGACUAGCAUGUAUUCUGUAGCUCUUUUUGGUCAAAGAGUUAUUCAGAGAUUCUCUUAUUUUAGCACCUUUUCACAGUUUUUAUGUAAUCAGCAAUUUGACACUGAUGGCACUGGAAAUGGGUUUGGAAAAAUCGAAGAUUACUUGAAUGAGAGCUGGAAGAGUAUGAACUCCGAUAAUAAUAUGAAUAAGCCUGAUAUACAGGAGUCACCUGACUUUAUUGGAAUCAAUGGCUGCUAUGAAGGCGAUUUCCGACAAAAUUUUAUAUCAAAGAUAAGCCUGAUAUACAGGAGUCACCUGACUUUAUUGGAAUAUAUGGCUGCUAUGAAGGCGAUUUCCAACAAAAUUUUAAAAGUCGGCACAACUUUAUUGAGAAAGUGAGAAACGAGGCUUGUAUGAUUCUUGAAAUUCUUCAACAAGAUGGUCCAGGAUUU
rnacentral:lncRNA from 1 species